rnacentral:lncRNA from 1 species
UGUCUGUGACCUACACUGCAGCUCAUGGCAAUGCCGGAUCCUUAACCCACUGAGUGGGGCCAGGGAUCAAACUUGCAUCCUCAUGGAUACUAGUCAGGUUUGCUACUGCUGAGCCACAAUGGGAAUGCCCUAUUUUAUUUAUUUUUAAAUAAUUUAUAUUUAAAAUUGCAUAGCCAUAUGCCUCCAAUAGCUACCAUGGUGGACAGCACAGUUUGAGCACAAUAUGCAACUUCCAGUUCCUCUUCACCUUCCUGAGUUAUAGAAUUGUCUCUCACAUGCUGAAAUAUUGUCUGGUGUUUAUUCUAUCUUUAUUCACUACCUGUACUUGGGUUUUAGUUUAAAUUCCAGUUACUAUAUUUAUAUCUGCAUUUUACGUCUCCUUUGGCUUCCUACCAAGCAUGUAGUUUUAGAUACUGAGUCAUUUCCUCUAUUAAUUCAGGGGAUAUUCUAAUGUCAUGUGAACUAAUCUCUGAAUCAAAAUGGAGAUACUUUCUCCUCACUACUUGUCAUACCCAUGCACACCUUUAUUGAGCAUUACUUUCUAUGCAAGGCAUUGAGGUAGGUGUUGCAGAUAUAGUAUCAUUCAAUCUUCGCAAUAACCAUGUGUGUUAUCAUUAAGAUUCCUGUUUUAUAGAUGAUGAAAUCUAUACUUGGAGAAAUUAAAUGACUUUCUGUAAUCUCAUAAUUAAUUUGUUCUGAAAUGGAAAUCAAUUUCAAGUUCCUUGUCUACAAUCAUCCCAGAUUUUUAGUCUCUAAACUAUGUCACCAUUUUUGCACAGUGCAAUGAUGUUUGUUUUUAAUAUUAUUAGUGACAGCAAGCCUAUAAAUUUGAAAGGCAAUGCAUUUCAUUUACAACUUUAAGAGAGCUUUGGUCCUUCCAUAGUUUUUUAGUGGUUCCUCAAGUAAAAAAUGGCUAUGCCAUCCACUUCUUUGGCUUUUCUUCCUUAGAUUUGAUCAAGGUUUUAAGUAUUAUUUCCUAACAUCAGCUUAAAAGUGCAUACCAGAUUUGCAGUCUGAUAUGGUGCAGAUCUUUCUCCCAACGGUUUCCUUUCCGUUCCAUUCCUUUUCUUUCUUUGUUGCUUAUUUUUUUUUUUUUUUUUUUUUUUUUGCUUUUUAGGGCUGCUUCCACAGCACAUGGAAGUUCCCUCCCAGGCUAGGGGGUGAAUUGAAGCUGCAGUUGCCAGCCAAUGUGACAGCUACAGCAUCACAGGAUCUGGACUGCAUCUGCAACCUACACCACAGUUCAUGGCAAUCCUGGAUCCUUAACCCACUGAGCGGGACCAGGAAUCAAACCUGCAACCUCAUGGAUUCUAGUAGGUUUUGUUACCCCCAAGCCACAAGGGGAACUCCCCCAACAGUUUCUACUCAUUGUUCUUAAUUUAGCUUCUUCACCUGUUCUAAACAAAUGGGUGCCCUUAGACUAGGGAAUAGAGAUGAGAAGCUGGGUUUGGAAUUCAGGCAGCUGUAAGUUUAAUUACUGGCUCCAAAUUUUAUGAAUUAUGUGAUCUUCUGCUUCUCCAUGCCUCUCUUUUAUCUAUAAAAUUGAAUUAAAAUACCUAUCUCAAAACAGUUGUUUCAAGGAAGAAAUGAAAUGAGGUUGAUGUAACACCUGGAAGAAAGUCUAGGAUACAGUGAACUGGUUAACAAAUCCGACUAGGAACCAAGAGGUUGUGGGUUUGAUCCCUGGCCUUGCUUAGUGGGUUAAGGAUCCGGCGUUGCUGUGAGCUAUGGUGUAGGUUGCAGACUUGGCUCAGAUCCCUCGUUGCUGUGAAUCUGGCGUAGGCCCGUGGCUAUAGCUCCGAUUCGACCCCUAACCUGGGAAUCUCCAUAUGCUGCGGGAGCAGCCCAAGAAAUGGCAAAAAGACACACAUACAAAAAAAAGACAGCUUCCAUGUGCCCCUCAACCUGCAGUUUCCCUAUCAUAGGUCACAAAUUAAGGCAUAACCAUAACAAAUGGUUAUGUCUCUUACUUCCCGUUUUUCUCAUCUAGAUUUGACCCCCGGUUUAAGUAUUGCUCCACAAAUUGUGAGCUCUAAAAAGGAAUAUAUUCCAUGCACUCUCAUAAAUUCUCUGCAUAUACCAAAAACACAUAAACUUUGUGCCAUGUUUGAAGCUAAAACAGACUAAUAACAUCGGCCCUGAAGUCAGAGUAGUGAGAGCCGCAUAGGCUUUUAUUGGAAAAUAUAAAGAAGCUGCAGUCUGUGAUAGAGAAGCAAGAAUGAGAUUCUGACAUAAUGCAACAGAUAUUGCUCCUGUUGGGGAGACUUUAAGUAGGCAUGCUUCCAGGUCUUGUGCAAAAUGAAAACAUAAGGGCACUUUUUUAAAAAGAAAAGAAAAAUGCUGUUAACAGUAUUAAAAUUAAAGUUUAAAAAGUUUUUUUUUUCGUUUCUACUGCAGUUUUUCUUUUGACUUGUCAGGGUUCAUUAUAUUUCCUAUUCAGUAUUGUUCUAAGUUUAAAAAAAUAAUUUUUAAGUGUAACUUUUAUGUUUAUAUUUAUAUUGUAUGAUGAUAGUCUUAAAUGAAAAAGUAAGAACAGUUAACUCAUAUCCAGAGUCGCCAAAAUUACACAGUUGGCGUUUAGUAGCUCCCAUGGCACAUGUAUUUUGUUCUGACUAGAACUCAACCAUUUUUAUUUCACUUUUUGAUAUGUGUACUUUCCAACGACAUAUUCUACCUUCAGCUUGCCGAGUAAGGAAGGACAAAAGGCAAAAAGAUCUGUGGGUUGCCCUAUUUUUCAUUUUGCUUCUGUGUCAUCAUUUUCAGCAUUAAUUAGUGGUUGGUUAAUACAGAGUAAUAACAUGAAAAAGAAAGGAUAUAAUAGAAUUUGUUGAAGGUUUGUGUUUCUUGGAAUGUUAUCUCUGUGGUCAAUGACUAAAUUGCUUACACUGCUCCUUUCAUUAGCUGCAUGAGUCCCUCUCUUUCUCUCUGUUCUUUUCAUCACUUUGACUGUAUAUGUAUAUCAAUAUAUUAUAUAUAGUAUUUUAUAUAUAGAUAUGAAAUCAUCUCAAUCAUCCAUCUAGAAUAUAUAUUUAAAAUUUCUUAGUAAUCUAUUUAGAACCCUGUACUUACAAAACCCACACAAUUUUAUUUGCUAUGACCUUUUUGUUCUAUUUUUGUUUUCUAUUUUAAAAAAAAUUCUCCAAAUAUAAAGAAAGAUACUUAGCUUAUAUUUAUG